CGGCCUACCAUGCAGUCGAACGGAUCCUUCGGGAUUAGUGGCAGACGGGUGAGUAACGCGUGGGAAGCUACCUUGUGGUAGGGAACAACAGUUGGAAACGACUGCUAAUACCCUAUGAGCCCUAUGGGGGAAAGAUUUAUCGCCAUGAGAUGUGCCCGCGUUAGAUUAGCUAGUUGGUAAGGUAAUGGCUUACCAAGGCGACGAUCUAUAGCUGGUCUGAGAGGAUGAUCAGCCACACUGGGACUGAGACACGGCCCAGACUCCUACGGGAGGCAGCAGUGGGGAAUAUUGGACAAUGGGGGCAACCCUGAUCCAGCCAUGCCGCGUGAGUGAUGACGGCCUUAGGGUUGUAAAGCUCUUUCAGCAGUGAAGAUAAUGACAUUAACUGCAGAAGAAGCCCCGGCUAACUUCGUGCCAGCAGCCGCGGUAAUACGAAGGGGGCUAGCGUUGUUCGGAAUCACUGGGCGUAAAGCGUACGUAGGCGGACUGAUCAGUCAGGGGUGAAAUCCCGGGGCUCAACCCCGGAACUGCCUUUGAUACUGUCAGUCUUGA
rnacentral:rRNA from 1 species